AANGGCGAAGCUGAUGCAGCAACGCCGCGUGCGGGAUGACGGCCUUCGGGUUGUAAACCGCUUUCAGCUCCGACGAAGCGCAAGUGACGGUAGGAGCAGAAGAAGGACCGGCCAACUACGUGCCAGCAGCCGCGGUGAUACGUAGGGUCCGAGCGUUGUCCGGAAUUAUUGGGCGUAAAGGGCUUGUAGGCGGUUUGUCACGUCGGAAGUGAAAACUCAGGGCUUAACCCUGAGCCUGCUUCCGAUACGGGCAAACUAGAGGAAUGCAGGGGAGAAUGGAAUUCCUGGUGGAGCGGUGGAAUGCGCAGAUAUCAGGAGGAACACCAGUGGCGAAGGCGGUUCUCUGGGCAUUUCCUGACGCUGAGAAGCGAAAGCGUGGGGAGCAAACAGGCUUAGAUACCCUGGUAGUCCACGCCGUAAACGGUGGGCACUAGGUGUGGGACUCAUUCCACGAGUUCCGUGCCGUAGCUAACGCAUUAAGUGCCCCGCCUGGGGAGUACGGCCGCAAGGCUAAAACUCAAAGGAAUUGACGGGGGCCCGCACAAGCGGCGGAGCAUGCGGAUUAAUUCGAUGCAACGCGAAGAACCUUACCUGGGUUUGACAUAUACCGGAAAGCUGCAGAGAUGUAGCCCCCGCAAGGUCGGUAUACAGGUGGUGCAUGGCUGUCGUCAGCUCGUGUCGUGAGAUGUUGGGUUAAGUCCCGCAACGAGCGCAACCCUCGUCCUAUGUUGCCAGCGGAUAAUGCCGGGGACUCAUAGGAGACUGCCGGGGUCAACUCGGAGGAAGGUGGGGAUGACGUCAAGUCAUCAUGCCCCUUAAGUCCAGGGCUUCACGCAUGCUACAAUGGCUGGUACAAAGGGCUGCAAUACCGCAAGGUUGAGCGAAUCCCAAAAAGCCAGUCUCAGUUCGNAUGGGGU
rnacentral:rRNA from 1 species